AUUGCACGCUGGCGGCAGGCCUGACACAUGCAAGUCGAACGAAGGGGCGGACGGGUGAGUAAUGACUAGGAAUCUGCCUGGCAGGGGGGGAUAACGUCCGACAACGGGCGCUAAUACCGCAUACUAUCAAGUGCGCCAAGGCCGGAUUAGCUUGUUGGUGGGGUAAAGGCCUACCAGGGCGACGAUCCGGAACUGGUCUGAGAGGAUGAUCAGUCAGACUGGAACUGAGACACGGUCCAGACUCCUACGGGAGGCAGCAGUGGGGAAUAUUGGACAAUGGGCGAAAGCCUGAUCCAGCCAUGCCGCGUGGGUGAAGAAGGUCUUCGGAUUGUAAAGCACGUUAAGUUGGGAGGCGUUACCAACAGAAUAAGCACCGGCUAACUUCGUGCCAGCCGCCGCGGUAAUUC
rnacentral:rRNA from 1 species